AUAUGUGGUAUGAAAUGAAGUUGCAUAAUAAACUGGGCUUACAAUAACGUCUAGGUCGGCCUAAAACCUUUAUACAUACUUUUUUUACAUAGAAUAUUAAGCUAUAAAAAUAAUAAUUGUUGGCAUGAUUUU